ACUGACCGGUCUGAAUCCCAGCCUGGGCCCUAGUCAGCCACUGGGUGUCCUGGGGCAGACGGGCCCCACGGAUCCCUGCCCAGAGGAGCAGAUUGGGGCAGCCCUGGCUAUACUUCCCCCCUCCAACCCACAGGGAUCCAAGGAGGGAGGGGGCAGAGGCAAGGCAACUUGACAUCCCCCCCAACACACAGGAGCCUGGAGCCCCAAGGGGACGUCUCCCAACCCACCCCCCAUACAUGGGGGAUCUGGGUGUUUGUGGGGCCGAACCCCCCGUACCUGGGACAGGAGGCUCGGGGGGGCUGUUCACAACAUUCCAGCAGCAGAAAUGGGUAACUGAGAAUCAGGCCCUUAAUCAGGAACUGCUCAGGGCCCCAGUCACCUGGGUCCCGUCACCCAGCUCAGUACAGGGGUCUGGGGGGGUGAUACAGGGAACAUCUCUCUGCCAGGACUGUACAGAGCGUCCCCUCUUGCAUUACAGAUAUUAACGAGUGUCUGGGGCCGAGCCAGCCAGACUGCGGACACAACGCAAACUGCACCAAUGUGGCUGGGAGUUACUACUGCCACUGCAUCCAUGGCUACGAGCCCAGCUCUAGGAGAGCCAUCUUCAAGGAUGCAAGUGAAAACACCUGCCAGGAUAUUGACGAGUGUCAGGGCCCGAGCCCGGCAGACUGCGGACCCCACGCAAUAUGCAACAACGUGGCUGGGAGUUACUACUGCACCUGCAUCGAUGGCUACGAGCCCAGCUCUGGGAAAACCAAAUUCAUGCACGCGAGUGGGGACACCUGCCAGGUCCCCAGCAUUAACCCCAGCGUUGAGUUUGAGGGAAUCAAAGAGACGUGCAGAAAUUUCUCUCUGCAGGUACGUUCAAACCCCUCAUUCAUUUGUUGGGGAUUUUGCCCUGUGUUUUUUACCACCAAUAUGGAAAUUCCCAGACAAAAACCUUUCCUGUUGGUAUUACAGUGACCCCUGUAAACCCCAUCCAAGAUUAGGGCAAUGCGGUGUUUGUUCCUUUCAUCGCUGGGACUCGAUCCUCCUCAUCCUUCUAGGCUGGUCCCAUCUACAUGUGAUCAGCUGUUCAAGUCCUUCUCUAUUCCAGUUUGUCUUGAAGCAGUUCCUCAGAAACUCCACAGCUUAUCAAAUCCUUUUGUAUGACAGCCACCCAUCCAGUCUGGAGUCUCCCAAUCCUCUUAUCUUCUGCGUCUAUCUUUAGCACCUUGUUUCCUGUUUGUUCUUCUGACCUUCUUGUCACACACCCACACCAUCUGAGCCUGGUUCCCUCAGCUUUUCUAUCAUUAGUCCUACUUUCACUCUUGCCCUAAUUCCCUCAUUUCAAACUUGUAACUCCA